GAACUGUCUUCCAGUUUCGUAUAUAUGCAACAUUCAUCACAGUUCAAGAAAUUGGAGAAAACAAAGACUAGUACAGAACAUAAUGAAGAGCAAGAAUCAUUCAAGGAAAACUAUCAGAAUGAGGAUAAUAAAGAGAUAUCUUUGGUUGAACGAAAUAAUGGAAACAUGUAUUUGGGAAUAUUAGAAGAUACAAAGCUGACAUUUACAAAGACAAUUGUUGGAAAAGUUAAGA